rnacentral:rRNA from 1 species
GAUGAACGCUGGCGGCGUGCCUAAUACAUGCAAGUCGAGCGAACAGACGAGGAGCUUGCUCCUCUGACGUUAGCGGCGGACGGGUGAGUAACACGUGGAUAACCUACCUAUAAGACUGGGAUAACUUCGGGAAACCGGUGCUAAUACCGGAUAAUAUAUUGAACCGCAUGGUUCAAUAGUGAAAGACGGUUUUGCUGUCACUUAUAGAUGGAUCCGCGCCGCAUUAGCUAGUUGGUAAGGUAACGGCUUACCAAGGCAACGAUGCGUAGCCGACCUGAGAGGGUGAUCGGCCACACUGGAACUGAGACACGGUCCAGACUCCUACGGGAGGCAGCAGUAGGGAAUCUUCCGCAAUGGGCGAAAGCCUGACGGAGCAACGCCGCGUGAGUGAUGAAGGUCUUCGGAUCGUAAAACUCUGUUAUUGGGGAAGAACAAAUGUGUAAGUAACUAUGCACGUCUUGACGGUACCUAAUCAGAAAGCCACGGCUAACUACGUG